AAACCAACAGGGAUUGCCUUAGUAGCGGCGAGUGAAGCGGCAAAAGCUCAAAUUUGAAAUCUGGCGCCUUCGGUGUCCGAGUUGUAAUUUGAAGAUUGUAACCUUGGGGUUGGCUCUCGUCUAUGUUUCUUGGAACAGGACGUCACAGAGGGUGAGAAUCCCGUGCGAUGAGAUGCCCAAUUCUAUGUAAGGUGCUUUCGAAGAGUCGAGUUGUUUGGGAAUGCAGCUCUAAGUGGGUGGUAAAUUCCAUCUAAAGCUAAAUAUUGGCGAGAGACCGAUAGCGAACAAGUACAGUGAUGGAAAGAUGAAAAGAACUUUGAAAAGAGAGUGAAAAAGUACGUGAAAUUGUUGAAAGGGAAGGGUUUGAGAUCAGACUCGAUAUUUUGUGAGCCUUGCCUUCGUGGCGGGGUGACCCGCAGCUUAUCGGGCCAGCAUCGGUUUGGGCGGUAGGAUAAUGGCGUAGGAAUGUGACUUUACUUCGGUGAAGUGUUAUAGCCUGCGUUGAUGCUGCCUGCCUAGACUGAGGACUGCGAUUUUAUCAAGGAUGCUGGCAUAAUGAUCCCAAACCGC
rnacentral:rRNA from 1 species